UCGGGAAUUUUGGGCAAUGGGGGAAACCCUGACCCAGCAACGCCGCGUGAAGGAUGAAGUAUUUCGGUAUGUAAACUUCGAAAGAAUAGGAAGAAUAAAUGACGGUACUAUUUAUAAGGUCCGGCUAACUACGUGCCAGCAGCCGCGGUAAUACAGAGGGUGCGAGCGUUAAUCGGAAUUACUGGGCGUAAAGCGCACGUAGGUGGCGACGUAAGUCGGGUGUGAAAGCCCCGGGCUCAACCUGGGAACCGCAUUCGAGACUGUGUUGCUGGAGUACGGAAGAGGAGGGCGGAAUUCCCGGUGUAGCGGUGAAAUGCGUAGAUAUCGGGAGGAACAUCAGUGGCGAAGGCGGCCCUCUGGUCCAGUACUGACACUCAAGUGCGAAAGCGUGGGGAGCAAACAGGAUUAGAUACCCCGGUAGUCCCUGAGCGGGCUGGCAAGGCGCAU
rnacentral:rRNA from 1 species